rnacentral:rRNA from 1 species
GACGAACGCUGGCGGCGUGCUUAACACAUGCAAGUCGAACGAUGAAGAAAAGAAUCGAAGCUUCGGCAGAAAUUCAUUUCGGAUUAGUGGCAGACGGGUGAGUAACGCGUGAGCAACCUACCUCUUACAAAGGGAUAGCCUCGGGAAACCGGGAUUAAUACCAUAUAACAUUGCGACGAAGCAUUUCGAUGCAAUCAAAGCUACGGCGGUAAGAGAUGGGCUCGCGUCCCAUUAACCGGAUGGUGAGGUAACGGCUCACCAUAGUGACGAUGGGUAACCGGCCUGAGAGGGUGAACGGUCACACUGGAACUGAGACACGGUCCAGACUCCUACGGGAGGCAGCAGUGGGGAAUAUUGCACAAUGGAGGGAACUCUGAUGCAGCGACGCCGCGUGAGUGAUGAAGGAAUUCGUUUCGUAAAACUCUGUUCUAUGGGAAGAAAAGGACUGUACCAAAGGAGAAAGCUCCGGCUAAAUACGUG